rnacentral:lncRNA from 1 species
CAUCCUCUGUGUCAUAAGAAAUAGAAAUUCCUCGGGAAUGGGCAGCUCACUGCAAUCUCCGACUGCCCACCUUUACUGUGAACACACGUCAGGGUUACAAAAGCUGCUUGUUUAGGCCUGCAUUUGAAUGGACACCAGCCAGUGCUGAAAUCAGGGCCUGUGCUGGAAUAUUGUUGUCAUCAACAGCCGCCUGUACAUCAUCCCGGCGCUCAUCAUAGCUUUUUCAACUGGUGGAACACUAUUUUCUUUUAUACCUUGAAAGAUGACAUUAAGCCAGGUUUAUACCUGCUUGGUAUUUGCCAUGGUAGCAGCUCCAAAUGAUGCACGAUGUUUACCGCUUCUGCCUAGAAUGGCCUGCAACCUAGAGCUAAAUACGUGCGCAAAUAACAGGUGUGCACAUUUUGCUAUCAUAUGUCCUGUUGGGAGUUAUGGACUGAGAUGUAAAGCAAAAUGUUCGAACCACUGCGUUGAAGGUAAGUGUCACCUAACGGAACGGGGUGCUGAGAUUUGCACUAAUGGCUGUGUAAAGGGAUGGAGAGGCACCAAUUGCCUGGAGCGAUGUCCGUACCCAUGCUCGGAGUGUGACCGCGACACUGGAGCUUGUACUGACCAAUGUGGGGAUGGUUUGUAUGGCGACGGCUGCACCAAGGAGUGUCCACAGUCAUGUGUUCGCUGUGACAAGGUGACGGGAGAAUGUAGUGCCGUUCAGCAUUCUUUGGCUAACUUCAAGGGUCUGGUUUACCUUGUCACAAUGGCUACUAUGGUGUUGAUUGCUCCAAACGGUGUACUCUUGGCUGCGAGACCUGUGACCAAUGGACCGGAGACUGUCUGCUGGACCAAACACAGACUGAGCCGUCAACAGCCCUGAAAAACAUUACUGAUGAUACAUCUUCAUUUGACAAACUCCCUGAAGUGAGAUCAUCUGAUGUGAAUAUGCUCAUGGUAAUCGGCCUGGGUGUAAUGUCGGCCUCCCUGCUGCUUAUCGUUGUUUUCCAGUGCUUGUGCUUCAGGAUGAGACGAAACCAACAGAUUACAGACAAGGAGGAUCUGAAAGAUGCCCACCUUUCUCUAAACGAGCCCAAGUACACUCAUGUCUACGAUGAAGAUACCUGAAGAUGCUGAUGACAGUCGGUUUCCUAAGCAGAGAGAAUACCUCACUGCAACAUUCACCAACGAUGGGCUUGACCCUUCUCUGACCCACAAGAUCGCGGCAAGUGGAUAUCUUCACCCUCUUGGGAUCAGAGGACCGUACGUGGCCCCUCAUCUUUCAUAUCCCAAUUGUGCUCCUUUUGAAGCGUGAAUUAUAAUACACGUUAACUGAUGAUUGCUUGUUUAACGCCGCACUCAGCACUAUUCCAGCUAUACCUCGGUGGUCUGUAAAUAAUCGAGUCUGGCCCAUAGUUGCGUUACGGUUUGUCUGUGUGUUACAAACUUGUUAACAAACAUCAUAAUCUCAGACACACCUUAACCGAUAGAAUGCAAGUUUUGGCAAAUAUAUCAACGUAAGUUGAUAUAAACAUU